GACGAACGCUGGCGGCGUGCCUAAUACAUGCAAGUCGAACGCUGAAGAGAGGAGCUUGCUCUUCUUGGAUGAGUUGCGAACGGGUGAGUAACGCGUAGGUAACCUGCCUUGUAGCGGGGGAUAACUAUUGGAAACGAUAGCUAAUACCGCAUAACAAUGGAUGACACAUGUCAUUUAUUUGAAAGGGGCAAUUGCUCCACUACAAGAUGGACCUGCGUUGUAUUAGCUAGUAGGUGAGGUAAUGGCUCACCUAGGCGACGAUACAUAGCCGACCUGAGAGGGUGAUCGGCCACACUGGGACUGAGACACGGCCCAGACUCCUACGGGAGGCAGCAGUAGGGAAUCUUCGGCAAUGGGGGCAACCCUGACCGAGCAACGCCGCGUGAGUGAAGAAGGUUUUCGGAUCGUAAAGCUCUGUUGUAAGUCAAGAACGGGUGUGAGAGUGGAAAGUUCACACUGUGACGGUAGCUUACCAGAAAGAGACGGCUAACUACGUG
rnacentral:rRNA from 1 species